GAAAAAGAAAAAAAGGAGAGAAAGGAAAGGAAAGGAAAGGAAAGGAAAGGAAAGGAAAGGAAAGGAAAGGAAAGGAAAGGAAAGGAAAGGAAAGGAAAGGAAAGGAAAGCGUUUAGAACAAGGGAUCAGGACAGAAUUUAGAACUUGAGAAAACAAAAGUCUAGUUACUGAACUGUAUGGCUGUCUAUGGCCUACAACCAGGAAGUAUCAGUUUUACAAUUCAAAUAUAUUUGGGGGGAGGGGUGCGCGCGCGAGCACCCACACGAGCCACAAGCCACGACAGUUAUGGAGCUCAGAGGACAACCUUGGGAAGUCAGUUCUCUCUUCCAAUCGUACAUGUCAGGCCUGGAUGGCGAAUGCUCAUGCCGCCUCACUCUCCACAGUUCUGGGGUACUGUGUCUGGCCACAGGAUGGCUCUGCCUGGACUGAACUUCUCCCCUAAAGCCUUCAAAGCUGGGAAUUCCCACAGGAAAGGGACAAGCGCCGGGACAAGGAGCGCGGCUUCACAGGAUCCCAAUGGAGGAGCUAGAGAAAGGACUGAAGGAGCUGAAGGGGUCUGCGACCCCAUAGGAAGAACAGCAUUAUGAACUAACCAGAGUUCCCAGGGUCUAAACCACCAAGGACUACACAUGGAGGGAUCCAUCGCUCUAGCCGCAUGUGUAGCAGAGGAUGGCCUUGCCGGGCAUCAGUGGGAGAAGAGGCCCUUGGUCCUGUGAAGGCUAGAUGCCCCAGAGGGGAAUGCGAGGGCAGGGAGGCCAGAGUAGGUGGGUGGGUGGAGGCAUACCCUCAUAGAAGCAGGAGGAGGGGGAAUAGGAUAAGGGGUUUCUGGGCAGAUGGGCCCCUAAGUCCCUCCGUUUCCCAUGUAGGAUGCUCAUGAUUUGUUCCCUGGACCGUGUAUUAGGAGAGCUGCUACGGUAGCUACCAGAAGCGCCUUUCUCAUCUUAGCAUCUGGAAAUCUCACUUAGAGAGCAUUUCAGACCUUGUGUGCCAGGAAGAAAAGCCUUUUAAAUUUAGUGACUGGAAUAUGUUAUUUUUAAAAACACAUCUACUGAGAAGGAACCACUUAGGACUUGAAGUUUCUAAUGUUUGUCAAAAUCCGAGACCUAGAAAAUUUAGUUUCUAGAAUUGUUAAGUUUUGGAUUAUGUUACUAAAACAGUGGUUGUGAAAUCAAAUUUAUGACCCGGACUAACAAAAGCAUCUUUUAGUUACCAAAAUUAUGUUCUGUUACGUGUUUAAAUCUCAUCAAAGUUCUCAAAGUCCACUAAAAUAAUUUGUUCAUGAUGUCAGGCUUAAGAAGAAAAUCAGGGCGAAUGAUCAGCAGUCUGAGCACUGACUUCUCAAGCAUGAGAACCUGUGCUGGGAUCCCCAGAAACAGGGGAGUGGCAGCCUGCCUUGUAAUUCCAGCCUCAGAAAGCAGAUUCCUGGAGCAAGCCAGCCAGCAAGACUAGCCACAUCGGUUCAUGGCCUCUUCUCCUUUAAUUGUUAUUAAUACAUAGGUUCCGGAUAUGAUUUACUAAGAAUCGCUGGUCAAACCUUCAACCUACCAGGAGACUCUGUUAAUUCAAGAUGAAGUUCAAAACUCCUUGAGUCCCUCCUCCCAAAAUCAAGAAUCCAAUGAGCAACGACAACGUCACAAAUGCAAAAUGAAGAGACCUCAUUGGAAAAUAACUCACAGCAUGCUGCUCCAUCAAGGUCCUGACUCUUCCUACUCCCCAAAUUCAUCAUAAACAGGAGCCACAUUGAAUUAGGCCCUCACACUCAUAAAUUCUUUUAAUGUAAUUGCCCCUUUGCAAGUCUUACCUCCAAAUACAUUAUUAAACACCUUAGUAAAUAUGCCAAAGCUAUAGGGGUGACUGUUAAAUACAAUUUUUAUUAUUUUCAAACCAAAAAGAGAAACACAAAUGCUACCCAACAAACAACAAAAUUAUGAGUCUUAAGGAUGGAGAGGGACCAUCCCUUCACCGUAAACGGUAGACACUCUACACUGUGGAAUUUGUCCGUUCUGGCUGCUGGGUGCUGAUGGCACUGGGGCCAGGAGUUGAACUGUAAGUCGUCGCUUGCCUCACCUUCUGCUUGCUCUCAACUUCUCUUGCUAGGCACACCAUCAUACCAUCUGGAGUUUUCUUUUGAUCAACACUUACCUCCUCUGACAGGAUGAAAGCCACCCGUAUCCCAUGUAAUCACAGAAGAAAGAAAACGGAGCAUUUGCCUUGGAAACCUGGACAUUUUCCACAGUUGCCAAAAACAAUUGGAAAUACAUGAAUAUUGAGAUUAUACGUUCAGUCAAAUCAGCAAUGACAAAUUACCAGCUUUGUGCAAAGACAAAGCAAAAGUAAAGCUACAAAAGAGGAUGUGUCAACGUGCACGUCUUGUGAGAACAGAAGAGACUUGACUAAAGGAUUCCAAAUAUUAUACAGAUCGUGUUUUGUUGUUGUUGUUGUUGAAAUCUUUUUUAAAUUUUUCUUUUAUGUAUAUGAGUACACUGUAGCUGUCUUCAGACACACCAGAAGAGGGCAUUAGAUCCCAUUGCAGAUGGUUAUAAGCCACCACAAGUUUGCUGGGAACUGAACUUAGGACCUCUGGAAGAGUAGCCAGUGCUCUUA
rnacentral:lncRNA from 1 species